GAACUCCAGGGCACUUCACCAGGCCUGAGACAACUGUGAGCAAGAGAGGCUGAGCCAGGAGCUGAGAAUCUACAGUGUUCUCUUCCCUCUGCUUGUCUUUCUCUUCUCCAGUGAUCUCUGGGCUUUCUGGACUGAGCUUAGUACUAGAAACAGACAGAGCAGAUGCAGAUCCACCUGUCCAGAACAAGUGAAAGGCAUAGCCAUGAGCAGUGUAGCAUACACUAUGCUCGAGAGGACAUCAAGGAACAUCAGAGACAGAGGCCAGCAUCAGUUGCACAAGACAUGGCUUUAUGAAUCCUAGACCAGCAGUGGAUGUCUUAUUGCUUGCCAACUUGUGUCCCAUGAGGCUCUACAACCUGGCAAGGAAUUAGUCACAACUCCAUGGAAGGAAGGUGCUGCCACCAAGAGCUGAUCAUCAUGAAAUGAGGUCACAGCAUGGUUGCUCACCCCAGGGAUUCUCUGUGUAGCCCCAAUUGUCCCGGCACAUGCUGUACAGACCAGGCCAACUUUGAACUCAGAGAAAUCUGCCUGCCUCUGACUCCUGAGUGCUGGGAUGAAAGGUGUGCAACAGUACCACCUGGCUCUGCCUCCCCAUCUUGAAGGUCUGCAUAUCUACUCUAAGAUAAUUAGAGUCCCAUUCAAACAGGGAACAAUACAACUGCCAUGCCUUGUCUGGCCUUGGCUGUGUUUCUCUUGCCUCUUAGCAACAUCUGUUGUGGCCAGUGAUGAUGGCUUGUAUUGAGUCAUUUUCUAAAUUCCCUGGAUUUUAAGGUGAAGAACUAAUUGGAGCCCUGGACUCACUGGGAACAAACGCUGGGACCUCGAGCUGAUCCUCCAAAUUUCUUAUUCGAAAAUUGAGGAACAAAGAUGGUCAGGAUAGUGAUUUUGUAUUCUGCAGAUUCCAAGGGUGUGGUGUGGUGUUACUGAGCAAACACCUUCUCAACAAACAGUAUUUGGGGAACUGGGCUUUCUGGAAAGAUUUGUCACCAUGGUUCUGGGUGUGGGGUGGAUGCACAGGAAAAAUAUUCUCUUGUCAGUAUUUAUUUGAUGAAGAAGGAAAAGGGGGUGGGUGGGAGGAGAGGAGGAAUGGGAGGAGCUCUAGACUCAGCUGAUGGAGAUCAGGGGAUGAGACCAAGCCAAACAAAGAGCCAGGCAGCUGCAUUCCAGCAUGUCAAUGUCAGUCUUGCUUAGCCCCACCCUUCCUUCUUUAGUAUUUCUUUGGAGUCCACCUCUCCCAGCUCUACCCCCUAGAUAGCUGUAGGCUCUGAGUCUUUUUUUUUUUUUUUAACAUCCUUAUGGCUGUCCCCAUGCAGGCCCCAUCCUGUCACUUGGAAAAAAAUCCUAAUUGGUGCCCUAGUCUUCAGGCAUCCCUUUCAGUGCUUCCUCAAUGGCCCCAGAGUAAGUGCAAAGUGAAAGCCAAAUACCUUGUAAGAGCAUAUAAGAUCCUGGUCACCAGCCCCUGGAUCCCCUUCUUCAUUCUCUUCCAGGCCCAGGAUUGAUCAAAUGCUUUUGAAAUGUGUUGUACUCAGGAUGCCUUCCUUGGAGCCCUUUCUUUGGGAUGAUGGGAAGGAAGUUCUGGGAUACUUGCCCUACACUUAGCCUGGAAAAAUCUGCUUUUCUAAGCCCUUCCAACCCUUCAGAAAUCUAAAACUAUUUCCAUGCUUGCUUCCUUUUGGGUCAGAAAGGAAUUUGCAUUA